ACGCUGGCGGCAUGCCUUACACAUGCAAGUCGAACGGCAGCACGGGAGCAAUCCUGGUGGCGAGUGGCGAACGGGUGAGUAAUAUAUCGGAACGUGCCCAAUCGUGGGGGAUAACGCAGCGAAAGCUGUGCUAAUACCGCAUACGAUCUACGGAUGAAAGCGGGGGACUCAGCAAUGGGCCUCGCGCGAAUGGAGCGGCCGAUAUCAGAUUAGCUAGUUGGUGGGGUAAAGGCUCACCAAGGCGACGAUCUGUAGCUGGUCUGAGAGGACGACCAGCCACACUGGAACUGAGACACGGUCCAGACUCCUACGGGAGGCAGCAGUGGGGAAUUUUGGACAAUGGGCGCAAGCCUGAUCCAGCAAUGCCGCGUGCAGGAUGAAGGCCUUCGGGUUGUAAACUGCUUUUGUACGGAACGAAAAGACUCCUUCUAAUAAAGGGGGUUCAUGACGGUACCGUAAGAAUAAGCACCGGCUAACUACGUGCCAGCAGCCGCGGUAAUACGUAGGGUGCGAGCGUUAAUCGGAAUUACUGGGCGUAAAGCGUGCGCAGGCGGUGAUGUAAGACAGAUGUGAAAUCCCCGGGCUCAACCUGGGACCUGCAUUUGUGACUGCAUCGCUAGAGUACGGUAGAGGGGGAUGGAAUUCCGCGUGUAGCAGUGAAAUGCGUAGAUAUGCGGAGGAACACCGAUGGCGAAGGCAAUCCCCUGGACCUGUACUGACGCUCAUGCACGAAAGCGUGGGGAGCAAACAGGAUUAGAUACCCU
rnacentral:rRNA from 1 species